GACAGAGGGUGCAAACGUUGUUCGGAAUUACUGGGCGUAAAGCGUGUGUAGGCGGCCAUGUAAGUCGGAUGUGAAAGCCCCGGGCUUAACCCGGGAAGUGCAUUCGAUACUGCGUGGCUUGAGUAUCGGAGAGGUUGGUGGAAUUCCGAGUGUAGAGGUGAAAUUCGUAGAUAUUCGGAAGAACACCAGUGGCGAAGGCGACUUACUGGACGAUUGUUGACGCUGAGGUGCGAAAGCGUGGGGAGCAAACAGG
rnacentral:rRNA from 1 species